AAAUGACAGAGGAGACGGACUCUUGUCUGGAUGUUACAGGGACAGAUGAGACACAAGUGUGUUUAUCUGCUGCAGAGACACUGAUGGAGGAAUGAUGCCAUCAAGACUCUCAAUCUUUUGUGAUGGAGGAGCAGGACCUGCAAGGAAAGGUGACGUUUGUGAAAAAAGGGAAAACCUGAAAAAAAGGAUAAAGAUCUGAAUGUCUGCAGACUGGUGUGUGUUGUGAGGAUGGAGAAGACCACAGCAUCAUCCUGGAAAUGAUCGAGAGACACGGAUGAGACGCUCCAUCACUCCACCUGCCAUUUACUGUCUCAUCAGGACCAGGUGAGACGCUCAUUAAAGCACAAAAAUCUGCAAUUAUCUUAAAGUCAUUAGUUAUUUUCCUAUCAGUGUAUAGUUGCCGGAUAUAAUUUUUAACCUGCUGCCUU